UGAAGUCGUAACAAGGUAACCGUAGGGGAACCUGCGGUUGGAUCACUCCUUACCUUAAAGAA
rnacentral:rRNA from 1 species